AAAAAAAAAAGAUGUGGUAUGAUUGCCAUGUUGAGACAACUCUCCACAAGAGACCAAAAUGACACAGAAAUUUACGACUAUAGGUCACCGUACGGCCUUCAACAACGAGCAAAGCCCAUACCGCAUACUCAGCUUUAAAAGGCCCCGAAAUGACGAUGUAAAAAAAUUCAAAAGAGAAAACUAGCGGCCUUAUUUAUGUACAAAAAAAGGAACGAAAAACAAAUAUGUAACACAUAAACAAACGACAACCACUGAAUUACAGG
rnacentral:lncRNA from 1 species